rnacentral:rRNA from 1 species
ACGGAGGGUGCGAGCGUUAAUCGGAAUUACUGGGCGUAAAGCGCGCGUAGGUGGUCUGUUAAGUCGGAUGUGAAAGCCCCGGGCUCAACCUGGGAACUGCAUUCGAUACUGGCAGACUAGAGUGCGAGAGAGGGAGGUAGAAUUCCAUGUGUAGCGGUGAAAUGCGUAGAUAUGUGGAGGAAUACCAGUGGCGAAGGCGGCCUCCUGGCUCGACACUGACACUGAGGUGCGAAAGCGUGGGGAGCAAACAGG